GAUGAACGCUGGCGGCGUGCCUAAUACAUGCAAGUCGAGCGAACAGACGAGGAGCUUGCUCCUCUGACGUUAGCGGCGGACGGGUGAGUAACACGUGGAUAACCUACCUAUAAGACUGGGAUAACUUCGGGAAACCGGAGCUAAUACCGGAUAAUAUAUUGAACCGCAUGGUUCAAUAGUGAAAGACGGUUUUGCUGUCACUUAUAGAUGGUUCCGCGCCGCAUUAGCUAGUUGGUAAGGUAACGGCAUACCAAGGCAACGAUGCGUAGCCGACCUGAGAGGGUGAGCGGCCACACUGGAACGGAGAGACGGUCCAGACGCCUACGGGAGGCAGCAGGAGGGAAUCUUCCGCAAUGGGCGAAAGCCUGACGGAGCAACGCCGCGUGAGUGAUGAAGGUCUUCGGAUCGUAAAACUCUGUUAUUAGGGAAGAACAAAUGUGUAAGUAACUGUGCACGUCUUGACGGUACCUAAUCAGAAAGCCACGGCUAACUACGUG
rnacentral:rRNA from 1 species